rnacentral:lncRNA from 1 species
CACACAUGGCAUUUCCCAGGCUAGGGGUCCAAUUGGAGCUACUGCUGCUGGCCUACAUCACAGCUCACGCAACACCUGAUCCUUAACCCACUGAGCAAGGCCAGGGAUCGAACCCAAAACCUCAUAGUUCCUAGUCGGAUUCAUUUCCACUGCACCAUGACGGGAAUUCCACCAAUUAUGGAAAUCUUCUAUAAUUACACCGUUCAGUGUGGCAACUACUAACCACUUGGGGCUACUUGAAAAGUGACUAGGGUGACUGAAGAACUGAAUUUUUUAAAUUUUAUUUAAUUUUAACUAAUCUUAGUACAAACUUAAAUAGCUACAUGUGGGUGGUACUACCACAGCGGACAAAGUUGUAAAGUCCUAAUGGUCCAUAUUAAUCAGGGAAAGUAUCUUACUCUAGCAUCCAGAAGCAACCAAUACUAAUUUUCCCAGAUGUCUCACUUUUUCCCUUCAUUCCCUUAAAAAGAGAGAGCUCCCCCUCUUUUUUUUUUUUUUUUUUUGUCUUUUUGCCAUUUCUUGGGCCACUCCCGCGGCAUAUGGAGGUUCCCAGGCUAGGGUCCAAUCGGAGCUGUAUUGUGACCUACGACACAGCAGCAGCAACACCCACUAUGCUGCCCUGGGGAUUGAACUUGAGUCCCAGUGCUCCAGAGACAUAGCCAAUCCUGCUGCACCGAAGCAGCAACUCUGUCUCGUCUGCUUUUUUGUUUUUUUUCGGUCUUUUUGUCUUUUUAAGGCCACACCCUGGCAUAUGGAGGUGUGCCCCUAAAAAGACAAAAAGUCAAAAAAAAAAAAAAAAAAAAAGAAAAUUAUCAAGUGAAAACUGCCUAAGUAUCCAUCAAAAGGGCACUCGUUAAGUAAAUUAUAAGAUGGAAUAUUACAUAAUCACUAAAAAAAAAAAAAAAGUUAAAGAGACUAGAAAUAUUAGGGGUUAAAAACAAGUUACACGUGAAUAUAUGUCCUUAUGUGCAGAGUACCUAGAAGAAUACUAACAGUAAUUGUACCUCAAGAGUUAGAUGAAAUAAGCUGAGACAGGAACUGAACAUUUCCCCCACUGAUAGAAGAGUAAUUUUUUUCUUGCUUUUCCGGGCCACACCCACAGCAUAUGGAGGUUCUAAGGCUGGGGGUUGAAUUAGAGCUACAGCUGACAGCCUACACCACAGCCACAGCAAUGCAGGAUCCAAGGCACGUCUUCAACCAACACCAGAGCUCAGAACACCAGAUCCUUAAUCCACUGAGCAAGGCCAGGGAUCAAACCCACAAUUUCAUUGUUCCUAGUUUCCACUGCGCCACGAUGGGAACUCCCAGAAGAGUUAAUUUUCAAAAACAAAAUAUUAGGUCAGGAGAUUCCACCAUGGCUCAGAGGUAACAAACCCAACUAGAAUCCAUGAGGACUCGGAAUCGAUCCCUGGCCUCGAUCAGUGGGUUGGGAAUGUGGCGUUGCUGUGAACUGUGGUAUAGGUUAAAGCUGCAACUCAGCUCCUGCAUGGUUGUGGCAUAUGUAAGCCAGCAGCUAAAGCUCUGAUUCAACCCCCUAGCUUGGCAACUUCCAUAUGCCCCAGGUGUGGCCCUACACACACACACACACAUACACACACACACAAACAAGGUCAGUAAAGUCUUUUUGCAUAUUCCAAGAUUCUCUCUAUAAAAAAUUCCAAUCUAUGGAGGUCUGUGUGAACCUCACUCACUGUGUAGAAGAGUUAAUUUAACACAGAAGGCCAGAGAUUGCUAUGCUUAGGAAGAGCUUGCCAGGUUAGCCCUUGGAUGGUGUCAAAACUUGGAUUUUCAGACAACUAAUCCUCAGUGCUAGAACUAGUAAGAGUGGCUCACUGUGCCUAAACUGUACCCCAAAGAGGUGGUUCAUGUUGAAUACCCACCUUCCUUCUGGGAACCUGGAAUUUUGGUAUCUGGUAGGCAGAGGGUGCCGACAUGACCAACCCAGGUGACAAGUCUCUAAUGAGCUUCCCUGCCAGGCAACAUUUCAUACACAUGCGGUCACAACUGCUGGAGGAAUGAAGUGUGUCCUGUAUGACUCCACUGGGAGAGACAUUAGGAGAGGCUCAUAUGCUUGGGAGAAUGAGCCUAGCUUCCUCUGGACUUCACCCCAUAUGCAUUUUCCCUUUCCUAAUCUUGCUUUGUAUCCUUUUGUUGCAAUAAAUCAUAGCCCUGAGUACAAUUAUAUGCCAAGUUAGGGAAGUCUUUCUAGGGAAUUACUAAACCUGGGGUUGGAGGUAGUCCUGGGACCCCCACCCCAACAUACUCAUCCUACUAGUAGCCAAGAGGAAAUGCCUUCUAAACUUAACUGGGACUCAAUUUAUGGGUUUCCUUUCCACAUGUGCAGAAUUCAGUUCAGAAUUUAGUAUUUUAUCAUAAAGACAAUCCUAGAUGCUAUAUGGAUUGGCUUGGGUAUCUUUUAGGGAAUAGAGAGUAGCAGUCUUAUGAGAUGUUCACCAAAUCGGUUUCCUCCUCCUAGCUAAACAGCUAGACCGUAUUUCUCAGCCUCUCCUGCAUAGGUGUGACCAAGCCUCAAAGAAGUGCAGGCCAAAAUACUAGCCACUCCCAGACCUGAUCCAUAAAACCUCCUACUCAUGAUCAUCUGGUUCUUUCACCAACUGCCAGCUGAAUGAAUAGAACUCCCAAGACCUAGAAGAGGACAGUGCCACAGAUGGAAGGAGCCUGUGUUCUUGAAUUACUACAUAAAAGGCAACCUAAUAAACAUUCUCAAUGAAAGUUAUCUGAGUAUAAAUGUUUGCUCUGCUAAGGCACUGGUAUUUUGAGGUUGUUUGUGGCCAACACUAGCCUGCUUUGCCUACCAACAAAGGAUAUGAUCAGGUUAAAAAUUUUAGACGUGUGGAGUUCCCGUCGUGGCGCAGUGGUUAACGAAUCCGACUAGGAACCAUGAGGUUGCGGGUUCGGUCCCUGUCCUUGCUCAGUGGGUUAACGAUCCGGCGUUGCCGUGAGCUGUGGUGUAGGUUGCAGACGCGGCUCAGAUCCCGCGUUGCUGUGGCUCUGGUGUAGGCCGGUGGCUACAGCUCCGAUUCAACCCCUGGCCUGGGAACCUCCAUAUGCCACGGGAGCGGCCCAAGAAAUAGCAACAACAACAAAAGACCAAAAAAAAAAAAAAAAAA